AGUGAUCCGGUCCAGACCCGCUCCUGGUCCCGCCUCCAGCAAGCUUCUCAUUCACUCCUUUAUUCAUUCAUUCAAUCGGGAGCUUUGUAGGAGGAACAACUGACAGAGACUUGUGCUGGUUGGGUGUGAGGGAGAAGUGAGACGUGCCAGAGGCUGGAGGACGAGGCACAGCCAGAGAAGUAAAGGAAAUCAUCGUACUGAAGAAGGCUUGAUCACACUCAGCAGGCCAAUUUCUGCCGCCGUCCCACCCCACCCACAGAUGGUGGCAGUCAAGAGACACGCUCUGAUGGACGGAUGAACUUGGCCCACACUUUGAACAAAAGCCCCAGGGUCUCUCAGGAUGUCCCUCUCAGUGACAGCAGAGAGAAGCUUGGAACCCCUUUCCUACCCUGCCCCUGCCACCCCCACCCUCCUACAGCCAUAAUCCACUUUCCUCCAGGGAAAUGCCCGAAGGGUGCAUUUCCCCUGCCCCUCACCUGCAUAGUCGUAACUCGGCCUUCUCAGAAUGCACCAGGCAGCCUCUGGGUCGGAGCUUGUCUGCUUUUAUUGAUUUGUAUCACCAAUACACUCCCAGGCAGGCCGCAACUCAGGAGAGGGACCCACGUCUGACAGCCUAUACUUCUGGUGACGCUAAGCAAGAUGAUUGUGUGUGUGUGUGUGUUCGAGUCUGAGUAUCCGUGUCCUGUCCAUCCUCUGCAGUUCAUCUCAGACCCACUCCCUCAGCCCUCUCCCUGGUCUCUCUUCACCUGGUUCCCUCUCCCAGGAAUUCCUCUAAAUCUCACUUCCAUCUAUCCAAGUCCUUCCCACCCUUCAAGGUUUGGCUCAAAGGCUGCCUCCUCUAAGAAACUUUUCUCAC